rnacentral:lncRNA from 1 species
AUGGCAUUCUGUGCCAUCCUCCUUGUCCCCAGCCUCUGCAGGAUGCCCUCCCUACCCACCUCUCCCUGGGCCUUCCCUGUCCACUGGGCUGGAUUCAUGUUCAAACCACUGGACUGGCAGGGCAACGACUUCUUCCCACCUCAAGAUGAGGUCCUCGCCCCCUUGUCUUGGCAUAAAAACACCUUUAAAGCAUGAGCCAUGUGCUUCUUUGCCCUUCUCUGUCCUGUUCCAAUCUUCUGCCUCCCAGUCACUCCCUGGGGACUAUGGGAUCACUGUCCCCCCACCUGUGUGGCCACACCAUAUGUCCUGUCAAUCCAGAACUGCCUCUGAGCUCCAGGCUGACCACAGAUCAGCCACAGCCUGAUGCCUGCAGCCCCACUUUGCUCACCCUUCCCCUCCCCUCCUCCUUCCUUCCACACAGCAAGCCUACCUUUCUCCAUCCAUGCUCACCAUAGCCCCCUUCCUUGUGACCUGGACCCUCCAUUGUACCUGGCUGAGACUGUCAGCCUCCUGGAGGAGUGGGGUCCACCUUCUUCUUGCCCUAUGCAGUGCAAGCUCACUUCUCACCCAGCAAGGUUGACUCAUCUGCCUCCAUGUCUCUGGGGCUUUGCUGUUGCCCUGAAACCUAGCUGGGCUGGUCUUGCUCCCAGCUUGCUUCCCCCUCCUCGGAUGUCCCUUUGCAGGCCCCUGUCGUUCCUCCGGCACCAGUGUCCUUGGCUGCCAUGGCAAGCUCAUCAGGGGCUUGUACCCUGGUCACCAAGCAUGGUAGCAGCUGCCUGCAUUGUAUCUCCAUCUGGUCACUGCAGGUGCCAACCCUUCAUCCCCCAUGUUUUCCUGGGCCAUGGAGGGCUGACCUCCGUUUCUGGGGAAUGUGGCUGA